UCUUUUGGGCGGGGGUCAAGAGCAAUAACGAAAAAUGUUUGUCAUAAACCGUUUUUCAUUAUUGCUCCUGACCUCCUCUCAUUUGCUAUGUCCA
rnacentral:pre_miRNA from 1 species